rnacentral:rRNA from 1 species
GACGAACGCUGGCGGCGUGCUUAACACAUGCAAGUCGAACGGUGAAGCGCCUUCCUUUUUGGUGGGUGUGGAUGAGUGGCGAACGGGUGAGUAACACGUGAGUAACCUGCCCCCUUCUUCUGGAUAACCGCAUGAAAGUGUGGCUAAUACGGGAUAUUCUGGGUCUGUCGCAUGAUGGGUCUGGGAAAGAUAUUGUUUCGGUGGGGGAUGGGCUCGCGGCCUAUCAGCUUGUUGGUGGGGUGAUGGCCUACCAAGGCGGUGACGGGUAGCCGGCCUGAGAGGGUGGACGGGCACACUGGGACGGAGACACGGCGCAGACUCCUACGGGAGGCAGCAGUGAGGAAUAUUGCACAAUGGGAGGAAGGAUGAUGCAGCGACGCCGCGGGGGGGAUGGAGGCCUUCGGGUUGUGAACCUCUUUCGGCAGUGAAGCAGGCCUGCCUCGUUUGUGGGUGGGUUGACGGUAGCUGGAUAAGAAGCGCCGGCUAACUACGUG